AUUGAACGCUGGAGGCAUGCCUUACACAUGCAAGUCGAACGGUAGACCCUUUCGGGGGUUGAGAGUGGCGAACGGGUGAGUAAUGCAUCGGAACGUACCCAGUCGUGGGGGAUAACGUAGCGAAAGUUACGCUAAUACCGCAUACGUCCUGAGGGAGAAAGCGGGGGACCGUAAGGCCUCGCGCGAUUGGAGCGGCCGAUGUCAGAUUAGCUAGUUGGUGGGGUAAAGGCCUACCAAGGCGACGAUCUGUAGCGGGUCUGAGAGGAUGAUCCGCCACACUGGGACUGGGACACGGCCCAGACUCCUACGGGAGGCAGCAGUGGGGAAUUUUGGACAAUGGGCGCAAGCCUGAUCCAGCCAUGCCGCGUGCGGGAAGAAGGCCUUCGGGUUGUAAACCGCUUUCGGACGGAAAGAAAUCGUCCUGGCUAAUACCCAGGAUGGAUGAUGGUACCGUAAGAAGAAGCACCGGCUAACUACGUGCCAGCCGCCGCGGUAAUAC
rnacentral:rRNA from 1 species